CUUAAUAUGGCAGCAAAUUUAAAAUGUUAUAACUCAGAGGCUGAGUUUACACUUGGCAUUAACAUGCGACCUGUAUCCGGAUGUUGUCCACAUACACAUUGAAAAGACAAGUGUAAACGCACUUCUGAUCAUAAUGUUAUCCGAUCAGUGUGUCCUGGUCUAGAGGUAGUUGAGGAUGCAUUGUGAUCGGAUCUGUGUAAUGUAAACACAAUCCAGCCAACGUGUCUGCAUUCGCAUGUCGACGUCACGCAAAACCGCGCCCCCUCUCUCCCGAACUUUCACAAGACUUAUAUUACAUAUUGU